rnacentral:rRNA from 1 species
CCCUUAGAUGUUCUGGGCCGCACACGCGCUACACUGAAGGAGGCAGCGUGUACUCCUGGAUCGAAAGAUUUGGGUAACCCGCGAAUCUCCUUCGUGCUAGGGAUUGAGGUUUGCAAUUAUCCUUCAUGAACGAGGAAUUCCCAGUAAGUGCAAGUCAUAAGCUUGCGCUGACUACGUCCCUCCCCUUUGUACACACCGCCCGUCGCUACUACCGAUUGAAUGAUUUAGUGAGGACUUCGGACUGGGACCGAUGCGGCUUUCGGGCUGCGUCGGUAUUCUGGAAAGAUGUCCAAACUGUAUCAUUUAGAGGAAGUAAAAGUCGUAACA